AUGAGUCCGUUCGGCAAGAAACCCUGGGGCAUCACCGUCGGCCGAGACUCCAACGGCUCGUUCCUGGGUGAUGGGUGGCCACAGUUUGUUGCCGUGCACGGCAUUGGCGUCGGCUGCUACUUGGUGUUCAAGCAUGUAUUGCGCGGCACGGUCACCCUAAAGGUGUUCGACGACGGCUUUGUUAUUAAACCAUUCGGCCUAACAAUUACUGUUUUGAGCCCAGCUGAGAUCGAGAAUGCAUUUGCUCGUAAGCCCCAGUUCAUUGUGCCAUUUCAGACAAGUUUCAAGGAAAAGAUGCCUAUCCCUCCUGAGUUUCUGCGGCGAGGAUACAUCUCAGAAGAAGACCUGAGCAGACCGAAACCGGCAGCCAUUUUUUCGACAUCCUGGCAUGUCGACCUCGAGAAGGAUGGCCCGAAUGUCUUCUUCGCCGGACCCUUAUGGCCAAAGUUUCUGGAACACAAAAACCUGUCUGAAACUCAUGUCCUGCUGAUCAAGUAUCACGGGCGCAUGACCUUCUCAUUGGAGACCUAUGGACAUGGGAAUAAUGAGCACAUUGAGGAAGAAACAAGCUCGUCUCAGCAAAGCGAGCAAUCUCCUGGAGCACAAAGCCAAGAGGAAGAACAUGUUUCCACUCCGAAAACUCCGAAAAGGAAACGAAAGGAUGGUAGAAAGCCCAACAACUUCAGGGCACCUAAACAAGAAGACAAAAGUUUGCCACGGCCCUUCGGAUUCGUGGAGAGUUGCAAGAUCGCGCUCAAGCCCAUGGAGAGCGACAAUUCUUGGGAGGUGGAAGGUGUGGCCUUGUAUCCGGGCACCAGAAAGGCUACGAAUAGGCUUGUAACAGGCUGGCCAAAAUUCUGCAAGGAGAACGGGCUCAAGGCAGGAGACACCUGCACUUUCAAAGUCGUCGACAGUACGCUGUGGCAUGUUGUCAUCGACCGCUAUGCUGCUGCACUUCAAAUUGCAUAA
rnacentral:rRNA from 1 species